rnacentral:lncRNA from 1 species
CAAGAAGGCUUGUAUUCUCUUUGAAGUUGCUUGCUUCUUUUAUUUAUGUUUUAUGUACCUGCAUUAUCUAUUUUUAAGGAAGGAAAAAAGGUAUAUGUGACAUCAUCAACACAUUGACAUAAUUUACCCUGAAAUAUAAUAGAUGGAUUGAUAGCAGAGCCUUCCUUAAGAAUGAGUCUGCUGGAUAUCUUCCAUUUGCCCUGCAGAUCUAUUUUCUACCCGCUGCACCCUGUUCUGUGCCCUGUGUGGUUGGUCUACAUGAACCACAUCAAUCAGCUUCCUUUCUUCUGGUAUCCAGUUGGGUUCAUCCGAUGUGGAACCUCAGAAAGAUAUUAGAAGGUCUGUCCAUGCAGCCCUGCUCCUGGGGGGAGAGGGAAAUGGUGGGAAUGAAGAAAGAGUCAGCUGAUGAAGAACUACUUCUUCUGAAAUCAACAUUCAGAAAGUGUACUAGCGAACACUGAAGCAGGGCGUCAGGCUGCAG